rnacentral:misc_RNA from 1 species
UGGAGAAAGUAACGAUUAAACCAAGGCCAAUUGGGGACAGUAACCAAUGUAGUGAGAACCACUCCCCCAGCGUAAAUUUGGAUCAUCAUUUGAAACGAUCCCAUUACGUAGCCAACAGAGAAGGCCACCACCGCGAAUACUAUUAGCAUGAUCUGCAUCAGCUGCUCCGCUAGCUUCUGUCCCUGCCAAUCCAUCUAGAACGAAACAAGCAAACCAAAUUCAAAAACCAGAGAUUGUCCCUAGAUCACCAAUUCACCAUCAGUUAUUGAAUUACAGUAAUCAAAUUUUGGGGGAAGGGUUUCGUAAUCUGACCUAGAAUUCACGGAUCUCGUAUCAGGAGA